GAAAUACUCCCUCCGUCCCAAAAUUCUUGACUUAGAUUUGUCUAGAUAUGGAUGUAUCUAAUACUAAAACGUGACUUGAUACAUUCGUAUUUAGACAAAUCUAAGACAAGAAUUUUGGGACGGAGGGAGUAUAAG
rnacentral:pre_miRNA from 1 species